CCAAUAGCGUAUAUUAAAGUUGUUGCAGUUAAAAAGCUCGUAGUUGAAUUUUUGGUCUGACAAAUUGGUCCAUUCAAAUUGGAUGAGUACUGAUUUUGUUGGGCCUAAUUCUUAGUGAGACUAGAUGUCCUUUAUUGGAUGUUUAGGGUAGCUAAGACGUUUACCUUGGAAAAAUUAGAGUGUUUAAAGCAGGCAUAUGCCGGAAUAGAUUAGCAUGGAAUAAUAGAAUAGGACGAAUGGACCUAUUUUGUUGGUUUCUAGGACCAUCGUAAUGAUUAAUAGGGAUAGUUGGGGGCAUUAGUAUUCAAUUGUCAGAGGUGAAAUUCUUGGAUUUAUUGAAGACUAACUAUUGCGAAAGCAUUUGCCAAGGAUGUUUUCAUUAAUCAAGAACGAAAGUUAGGGGAUCGAAGACGAUCAGAUACCGUCGUAGUCUUAACCAUAAACUAUGCCGACUAGGGAUCGGGCGAUGUUGUUUUAAUGACACGCUCGGCACCUUAUG
rnacentral:rRNA from 1 species